AAGAAAAAUAUCUAAAAGUUUUUAUUUUUUAUGAGAUUCCAACCAGUAAAAUGGAGGUUUAUCACAAAGUAGUGAAACAGCAAAAUUGACGAUCGAACAACCAACCUUUUUUUCUUCUUUACAGCUCCAAGGAAUUUCGAUAAUGCUUUUUACAUUAAUCCCUCAAAAACUUCACCAUUACUUUCCCCCUCCACUUUUCUAUCACCCUUCUCCCUAAACAACCAAUCAGCAAAUACACAAAAACAUUGAAUUCAUUGACACAGUAAAUUACGUAAUUACCCUUUACGACGGCAGUGUUUCAUAAUCCAAGUACUCCUUGGAACGGAUUACAUCGAAAAUAGGUGUAACCGGAGUUCUAAUUGAAGGAUGCACAUGGACAGUACAUGCAUCUGCCGAUCUACUACACCAGUCCCGCCAUUGUUCCCGACAAGAGACUGAGGAGCCAAUCUGUGAUGGAGUUGGGCGUGCGGCGAAGGACGACCCGUGCUCGUUCCGUUUUCCUAUUGCUGCGUAUGAGAAAACAAUGUGCCGGCCUGCCGGGCGAAAAGAAGAUACAGUUGAGGAAGCGCGAAGUGGAACGACGCCGCAAGGACGA
rnacentral:misc_RNA from 1 species